UAGGAUGCGAUUAUCUCCUCGGCGAUAGCUGACCAUGGCUAAGAAACCAAAGACUGCAGGGAGGGGGCAAAAAAAUUAGGUUACUCAGAAUGUUAAUCCGCUGGGUGGAGUGCAACCAAUUGCAAUGUCGAGUGGAAGUGCAGCAAAGGGUACCCCUGGUGGGAACCCAAAAAUGAAUUCGAACAGUGAAUCAUGGGCGGAUAUGAUGGAGAAUGAGGAAAAUGAUGGAUCUAUGGUAGGCCAUCCGAAAAUCCUUUCUCCUAAGUCAACUGGUGGACAAGGGGAUAAUUCGUGGAGUAAAAUUGUGGGAAAAUCGAUGGGGAAAGAGGGUUAUGACUUAUCCUCUCCAGAGAAGCCUGUGGGUAACGUAAAAAUAAUGAUUGAGGAUGUACAAGGGGAAAUUAACUAUUGGUCGACUGGUGUUGUGUGACCAAAGCUGGUAAUAGAGGGUUUUCUUAAGAGAGUUGUGGAAGGAUUACAGAAUUGAUAAAGUAGUCCAAGUGAAUAAGGGGGUGUUUCGUGAACAGAGAUAACCGUGAUAAGGUGGUUGAGG
rnacentral:lncRNA from 1 species